GCAAGCGGCCAGGCCGCACAAGGAGCAGGGAGAAAUGAGAACGGUGGUCUACAGAUCUCAACUGUUUGAUGGAAUGCCCCAUAGUGCUCGCGUCAUUGCACAGAUAUAUAUGAUGCUUGACCUGGAAGGGCAGCAUUAAAACAGUGGUACACACUGAUGAGAGCUCUCAAAAGUCUCUAUAUCAAUAUUCUAUAUGAUUCAGUAUAGCUCCUCUAGGAUCACGAUUUUGGUUUUAGUGACUAUCCUAAUGCAAACUGCAAUUUAUUCCGCAAACAAUUUGACUCUUAUCAGAUUGAAAAACUUUUGGUUCAGGGGUCCUUACACAAUCACUCAUCCAUUAACAUCUAUAAUUUUGUUUGGAGUACAAGUACAAUUUAGUUUUCAUCGUUGAUCUGAAUCUCUCAAGCACUCCUUAUUAUUAUUUCUACUUAGUUAGGGUGACUUCAGUGCUUCUAGGAAUAUACUGCUCGGCAAUUCAUGGGAUGUGGGUUAGCAUUGAUGUAGACAAUUUGCUAUUUUAGAUGAUAGUACCUAUGGUGUAUGAAAUCAGCGGGCUAGACAAGAUCAUGGACUAUUCUAUUUUGUGAAUAAAAGGAAGAGCAUGUGCAAUGCAUAGUUAGACUGUCUUCCAAGAUAAGAGGUUGACAAGUAUGGGUAGUACACUGGUUGAUGGAAGUAUCUAAAGAUUCAGUCAUUCAAUCUUCUCUCCCCUGUAUGAGGAGGAAUUGUGCCUUCGGUCAGAGGAUAAAGACCAUGUUUUAAAGGAAUUAUGAAUCUCACUUCAGCACUUUGAAUUCCUAUGGCAUAUGAACAAUAAAAUAUAUUGUUCCAAUAGUCACCUUCCUGGCGGUUUAUUUUCCUGAAUUGCAAGGGACUCAUGUCGUAGUUAAGGACAAAUAACGGCGUGCAGGUUAAUUGACAAUCCAAACCGCUUUACUCGAAGAUCUCUCGCAGAAAGGUUAUCAAUGGAAGAUCCCUUGUGCGCGUCACCCACGGAAGGGCCUACAUAUGGAAACACGGAAUAAUCUGUAUAGGUGUCUUUCAUCAAGGUUGACUGCGCAUUAUUGUGCUCAGCAUACAUCAUCCUACCAGAUUUUGGCCUGGUUUCUACAGAUGAUACCUACAACUCUAAGGUGCUUUAGCUAAUAUAUAUGGAGGCUGGUCUGUUCCUUCCUCUCUGUUUUUAGUGCUUCCUCUGCUUCCUGAUUUUUAUCUAUUCGGUUAGCACAUCGAAAACAGAUUUAGGCGGUCAUGUCUAUCUUCUUUGUGUACUAUUUAUGUUGUUUAUUGUGUUCGGUAAACAAAAUUUCCUACGGAAUUAUAUAUGAGCUAUGGAAGAAACAAGUUUAUUAUCCGACAGACUAAUUCUUAUAAGUGCAUAUGAAUUUAGCCAGCAUAGCGUAAUUCUCCCACUCUCCUUUAACACAAGCUGUUCUUUCAAGAUACAGGGUUAAAAUGACUAGGAAUUCUUGGCUGUCUACUUGAUUCUAGAAUAAGCAUGAACGUGUUCUAGCAUUGUUGGGUUGUUAUGUUCUGUUCCCUAAGUUAUAUAUAGCUGAAAAAAGAUAUAGGACAUUUCUGCAUGUUUUUUUUUGACACAAAAACAUUUCUGCAUGUAAAGAUGCCACGUUAAGAAAUAUUUGUACCAUUAAGAUAUGAUUAUUUUUUUGUCUUGCUCUUACUUAAAUUAAGUUCUGCCCAGAAAUUUUGAUUUUUUUUUCAUCAUGGGUACUAAUAUUUAUAUUUACAUUUGGAUGGUUCGGCUGCAGGUCAGAAUAAUGAGGGUCUCCCUAUUCCUCAAACUUCAAAGUAGGUUCAAGGUCCUUGAGACUUUAACAUUGCCACCAUCUAUGGAUCUCACGAGAUAGAGUUUCCCAUCAUCAGCUUCUGUAGUCGAUGCGGUAAAAUUGUGGUCUUAGCAGAGCACCUGUGUUUUUGGGCUUCUGUAGUUGUACGGAUCAUCAGGAAGUGUUAUAACAAGUAGAGCAGAGCUGUGUCUGACAGGCUUACCGUGUAAUCUAUUCACACCUGCCGCGAUUCAAUACGUGUCCUUUUUGUA